rnacentral:rRNA from 1 species
UACGUAGGGUGCGAGCGUUAAUCGGAAUUACUGGGCGUAAAGCGUGCGCAGGCGGUUUUGUAAGCCAGAUGUGAAAUCCCCGGGCUUAACCUGGGAAUGGCAUUUGGGACUGCAAGGCUGGAGUGUGGCAGAGGAGACUGGAAUUCCCGGUGUAGCAGUGAAAUGCGUAGAUAUCGGGAGGAAUGACCGAUGGCGAAGGCAGGUC